rnacentral:rRNA from 1 species
GACGAACGCUGGCGGCGUGCUUAACGCAUGCAAGUCGAACGGAAAGGCCUCUUUCGGGGGGUACUCGAGUGGCAAACGGGUGAGUAACACGUGAGUAACCUGCCCUUGACUUUGGGAUAACUUCAGGAAACUGGGGCUAAUACCGGAUAGGAGCUCCUGCUGCAUGGUGGGGGUUGGAAAGUUUCGGCGGUUGGGGAUGGACUCGCGGCUUAUCAACUUGUUGGUGGGGUAGUGGCUUACCAAGGCUUUGACGGGUAGCCGGCCUGAGAGGGUGACCAGCCACAUUGGGACUGAGAUGCGGCCCAGACUCCUACGGGAGGCAGCAGUGGGGAAUAUUGCACAAUGGGUGGAAGCCUGAUGCAGCAACGCCGUGUGCGGGAUGACGGCCUUCGGGUUGUAAACCGCUUUCGCUCAUGACGAAGCUUUGUGUGACGGUAGUGGGUAAAGAAGCACCGGCUAACUACGUG